rnacentral:sRNA from 1 species
GUCUAGCCCUGAUGGAAGCGGCAUCCUUUUUCUUGGUACUACUGACGAAGGAAGGUAGCAAGAAAAAGAUACAGCGGACAGCAGGAAAUAGC